UAGCAGUGAGGUGGUCAUGUAGGCAAAUCCGCAUGGCAUAACAUUGAGCUGUGAUGCCGAAGCCGUAUGGCGAAGUCAACUGAUGUCACGCUUCCAAGAAAAGCUUCUAGGGUUAAUUUAGUAAGUGCCCGUACCGAUAACCGACACAGGUAGGCGAGGAGAGAAUCCUAAGAUGAGCGAGAGAACUCUUGUUAAGGAACUCGGCAAAAUGACCCCGUAACUUCGGGAGAAGGGGUGCUUGUGAGAGCAAGCCGCAGUGAAUAGGCCCAGGCGACUGUUUAUCAAAAACACAGGUCUCUGCUAAACCGCAAGGUGAUGUAUAGGGGCUGACGCCUGCCCGGUGCUGGAAGGUUAAGAGGAGAGGUUAGCGCAAGCGAAGCUUUGAAUUGAAGCCCCAGUAAACGGCGGCCGUAACUAUAACGGUCCUAAGGUAGCGAAAUUCCUUGUCGGGUAAGUUCCGACCCGCACGAAAGGCGUAACGAUCUGGGCGCUGUCUCAACAGGAGACUCGGUGAAAUCAUAGUACCUGUGAAGAUGCAGGUUACCCGCGACAGGACGGAAAGACCCCGUGGAGCUUUACUGUAGCUUGAUAUUGAGCACUGGUGACACAUGUACAGGAUAGGUAGGAGACGAAGAAGCCAGGACGCCAGUCUUGGUGGAGUCGCUGUUGGGAUACUACCCUUGUGUUACUGGGGUUCUAACCCGUGGCCAUGGUCUGGUCAGGGAACAGUGUCAGGUGGGCAGUUUGACUGGGGCGGUCGCCUCCCAAAGAGUAACGGAGGCGCCCAAAGGUUCCCUCAGAAUGGUUGGAAAUCAUUCGAAGAGUGUAAAGGCAGAAGGGAGCAUGACUGCGAGACCUACAAGUCGAGCAGGGACGAAAGUCGGGCUUAGUGAUCCGGCGGUACCGAAUGGAAGGGCCGUCGCUCAACGGAUAAAGCUACCCCGGGGAUAACAGGCUGAUCUCCCCCCAGAGUUCACAUCGACGGGGAGGUUUGGCACCUCGAUGUCGGCUCAUCGCAUCCUGGGGCUGUAGUCGGUCCCAAGGGUUGGGCUGUUCGCCCAUUAAAGCGGUACGCGAGCUGGGUUCAGAACGUCGUGAGACAGUUCGGUCCCUAUCCGUCGUGGGCGUAGGAAAUUUGAGAGGAGCUGUCCUUAGUACGAGAGGACCGGGAUGGACACACCGCUGGUGUACCAGUUGUUCUGCCAGGAGCAUAGCUGGGUAGCUACGUGUGGACGGGAUAAACGCUGAAAGCAUCUAAGCGCGAAGCCCCCCUCAAGAUGAGAUUUCCCAUUCGAAAGAAGUAAGAUCCCUUGAAGACGACAAGGUAGAUAGGUCAGAAGUGGAAGUGUGUGACACAUGGAGCGGACUGAUACUAAUCGAUCGAGGACUUAACC
rnacentral:rRNA from 1 species